CAGCCCAGUUCUGUGUGUCGUUGGGAGCUGAUGGAGUUCAGAAGCUCACCGACAGACCAGGGGAUCUCAAAGUUAAACCUGAGAUUCAGUGGCAUGUCACUCUUGGCUCUUCUCUCAACAUGCCCUGGAUUUGUAUGCCUUCAUGUCUUGACUGAUUUUUUUUUUUCUUGAUCAUGGAGCCAGAAGUCUCAAAUUCAAGGUCUGCUGCCACCUUCAUAGUUGAGGUUCUUGGAAGUAUUGUUACUCCACCCCAAUCUGCAUGGACCCAACCACGUGGUAUCAUAGCGAAUCUAAAUUACUGGAGCAUUUGGAUG